UGGGGAAUCUUGGACAAUGGGGGCAACCCUGAUCCAGCGAUGCCGCGUGGGUGAAGAAGGCCUUCGGGUUGUAAAGCCCUUUAGGUUGGGACGAAGGAUAUUGCCUGAAUAAGGUGAUGUUUUGACGGUACCGACAGAAUAAGCACCGGCUAACCCUGUGCCAGCAGCCGCGGUAAUACAGAGGGUGCGAGCGUUAAUCGGAGUUACUGGGCGUAAAGGGUGCGUAGGCGGUUUAGUGUGAGAGAUGUGAAAGCCCCGGGCUUAACCUGGGAAGAGCAUCUUUAACUGCUGAACUAGAGUCCAUCAGAGGGUGGCGGAAUUUCCGGUGUAGCGGUGAAAUGCGUAGAGAUCGGAAGGAACGCCGGUGGCGAAGGUGGCCACCUGGGGUGAGACUGACGCUGAGGCACGAAAGCGUGGGGAGCGAACAGG
rnacentral:rRNA from 1 species